rnacentral:rRNA from 1 species
CCCUUCCGGGUACACGAGCGGCGAACGGGUGAGUAACACGUGAGCAACCUGCCCCUGACACCGGGAUAAGCCGUGGAAACGCGGUCUAAUACCGGAUACGACGCGCUCCCGCAUGGGGUGCGCGUGGAAAGGUUCACUCCGGUCGGGGAUGGGCUCGCGGCCUAUCAGCUUGUUGGUGGGGUGAAGGCCUACCAAGGCGAUUACGGGUAGCCGGCCUGAGAGGGCGACCGGCCACACUGGGACUGAGACACGGCCCAGACUCCUGCGGGAGGCAGCAGUGGGGAAUAUUGCGCAAUGGGCGGAAGCCUGACGCAGCGACGCCGCGUGGGGGAUGACGGCCUUCGGGUUGUAAACCUCUUUUACCACUCACGCAGGCCCCGGGUCCUCCCGGGGUUGACGGUAGGUGGGGAAUAAGGACCGGCUAACUACGUGCCAGCAGCCGCGGUAAUACGUAGGGUCCGAGCGUUGUCCGGAAUUAUUGGGCGUAAAGAGCUCGUAGGCGGCGUGUCGCGUCUGCUGUGAAAGACCGGGGCUUAACCCCGGUUUUGCAGUGGAUACGGGCAUGCUAGAGGUAGGUAGGGGAGACUGGAAUUCCUGGUGUAGCGGUGAAAUGCGCAGAUAUCAGGAGGAACACCGGUGGCGAAGGCGGGUCUCUGGGCCUUACCUGACGCUGAGGAGCGAAAGCGUGGGGAGCGAACAGGAUUAGAUACCCUGGUAGUCCACGCCGUAAACGUUGGGCGCUAGGUGUGGGGGCUUUCCACGGUUCCCGUGCCGCAGCUAACGCAUUAAGCGCCCCGCCUGGGGGAGUACGGCCGCAAGGCUAAAACUCAAAAGGAAUUG